rnacentral:rRNA from 1 species
AUUGAACGCUGGCGGCAGGCCUAACACAUGCAAGUUGAACGGUAGCACAGAGAGCUUGCUCUCGGGUGACGAGUGGCGGACGGGUGAGUAACGUCUGGGAAACUGCCCGAUGGAGGGGGAUAACUACUGGAAACGGUAGCUAAUACCGCAUAACGUCGCAAGACCAGAGUGGGGGACCUUCGGGCCUCACACCAUCGGAUGUGCCCAGAUGGGAUUAGCUAGUAGGUGGGGUAAUGGCUCACCUAGGCGACGAUCCCUAGCUGGUCUGAGAGGAUGACCAGCCACACUGGAACUGAGACACGGUCCAGACUCCUACGGGAGUCAGCAGUGGGGAAUAUUGCACAAUGGGCGCAAGCCUGAUGCAGCCAUGCCGCGUGUAUGAAGAAGGCCUUCGGGUUGUAAAGUACUUUCAGCGGGGAGGAAGGCGGUGAAGUUAAUAGCUUCACCGAUUGACGUUACCCGCAGAAGAAGCACCGGCUAACUCCGUGCCAGCAGCCGCCGUAA